rnacentral:lncRNA from 1 species
AUGGGGAAAUCCACAGGUCAGCAAGAAAGCAAAAGAGACUUCGCCCUACAGAACCUUGCAGCGCAGAUGAAGGCACUCCCUAAAGUUGUGGGCCGUGAGCUGCCACCUACUCGGGAUUUGCUGGUGAUAGAAGGGACGUGGAUCUACUCUGCAGCUUGCAUUAUUACACGCCAAGUGUGUGUUUCACUGUUUGAUAAUGGAAGGGAACAAACUCAAUACUUGGUGGAGAAAACAUUGGCUGCAAUACAUCUGAAUCUGAACUGUGAUAAAGAAAAAUAACGUGACAGCGGAUGAAGUUUGUUCCUGAGAACAGGAAAAAAAAAAAAAACAGUUGUGAUUCUGAUGUUGGUAAUAACAUGAGAUGUAUUCAUUAGGUAAUACUACAGAAAAUGUCUUAUUACCAAUAUGUUUCUUCAUAGUGUGAAUUUGAGGUUUGACUUGGAGUUUUGACAUGCUGCAUUUUUCACGCAGUCACUUUGGUUUUGACAUUAAUUUUGUCGAUUUGAUUCUGCUUCAAACAAAAGCUCUAAGAUUUGACCAAGAAUGGGUUUAGGUUUAUUGAAGACAUUUACACAGACACGUCUACUGAAGAAGUGGCAUAACUGUACUGUGGCUAAAUGUACAAUAGUACCAGUAGUUCCACUCCUCUAUUGUAGCUUUGACUUGUCUGUAGUUACAUUUCAAGUUUUUAUACAACAUUUGUUCUUCUUUAAAUGUUCUUUUCUGUUUUUCUGGAAGUCCUGAUGAGAUUUGUACAAGCAGACUUGAAGCUACAAUACAACGUCUUAAUUUACGGAAGCCAACUGUGCGGCUCUUGGCCUCCUCCUACUACUUCGUUAUUGAGUGUGCUCGCUUUCUCCGUCACCUCCUGGUUUGAGUCCAUUAGCCUGCAAAGAAAGAAAUCUGUCGGGACCCCUAACAUCCUGAGUCCCAUGUUCCAGUGGCUCCCAUCAGGACACAGACUCCCUGAUGCAGGACCCAAAUAGGAGAAACACUGUAAUCCCAGCAGUAGUUAUCCAUCAGAAUGCUGUCCUGUACAAUGACGCUUUUAAUUGAUCUUAAUAGUAAUAUUAAUUUUCCUGGAUGCUUUACCUUAAUUGGCCUUCAGGGAUAAAUAAUAGAGAUAAAGUGUUUUAAAUUGAAUUGAUCAAUACAUUAUAAAUACCAGAAAUACUCACGUACACAUUAUUCAAAGAAAUAAAUUAAAAACAAAUCUAUGUUGUGAAUUUCA